UGAAUACGAGAUGCUACGGCGUCGAAGCAGUCUAUGUCAUACUUCCAAGAAAAGCUUGCACUGUCAUAAACAAAUAAUGCCUGUACCAUAACCGACACAGGUGGGUAGGUAGAGUAUACUAAGGGGCGCGAGAUAACUCUCUCUAAGGAACUCGGCAAAAUGACUCCGUAACUUCGGGAGAAGGAGUGCCUUAUUUAUAAGGUUGCAAUAACAAGAUCCAAGCAACUGUUUACCAAAAACACAGGUCUCCGCUAAGUCGUAAGACGAUGUAUGGGGGCUGACGCCUGCCCAGUGCCAGAAGGUUAAAGAAGUUGGUUAGCAUCCGCGAAGCUGAUAACUGAAGCCCUGGUGAACGGCGGCCGUAACUAUAACGGUCCUAAGGUAGCGAAAUUCCUUGUCGGGUAAGUUCCGACCCGCACGAAAGGCGUAAUGAUUUGGAUACUGUCUCGGAGAGGGGCUCGGUGAAAUAGACUUGUCUGUGAAGAUGCGGACUACCUGCACCAGGACAGAAAGACCCUAUGAAGCUUUACUGUAACCUGAAAUUGAAAUUGGACUUUACUUGCGCAGUAUAGGUGGGAGGCGUUGAGAGUAUUCUUGCGGGAUUAUUGGAUCCAUCAGUGAGAUACCACUCUUGUAAUGUUAGAUUUCUAACUUUGUAUCAUUAUCUGGUCAAAGAACAGUUUCAGGCGGGCAGUUUGACUGGGGCGGUCGCCUCCUAAACGGUAACGGAGGCGCACAAAGGUUUCCUCUGAACGGGUAGAAAUCGUAUCUAGAGUGUAAAGGCAUAAGGAAGCUUGACUGUGAGACCUACAAGUCGAGCAGGGACGAAAGUCGGUCUUAGUGAUCUGACGGUGCUGAGUGGAAAGGCCGUCACUCAACGGAUAAAAGUUACUCUAAGGAUAACAGGCUGAUCUCCCCCAAGAGUUCACAUCGACGGGGAGGUUUGGCACCUCGAUGUCGGCUCAUCGCAUCCUGGGGCGGUAGUACGUCCCAAGGGUUGGGCUGUUCGCCCAUGAAAGCGGUACGCGAGCUGGGUUCAGAACGUCGUGAGACAGUUCGGUCCAUAUCCGGUGUAGGCGUUAGAAUAUUGAGAGGAGCCUUCUUUAGUACGAGAGGACCGAGAAGGACAUACCUCUGGUGUACCAGUUAUCGUGCCAACGGUAAACGCUGGGUAGCUAUGUGUGGAGUGGAUAAUCGCUGAAAGCAUCUAAGUGGGAAGCCCACCUCAAGAUAAGUAUUCUCA
rnacentral:rRNA from 1 species